GUUUCCUUCUGAUGAUUUACAUCAAAUGGUGCAUUUCCCUUCAGUCUGUGGGAUCAUACAAGGAUAGAGAACAUUUUCAUAUUUAGAGCAAGAAAGCACAUAGCCUUUUACACUGGGAAGGAUAUGGGCAGUAUAGAUUCUUAUAAGCAAGAUUUUCCUUCUGGUAGCUUCAGAAACAAGAUUAAUGGGCAUUAAUUGACAGGGACAUCAGGUCUGUUUUUUUUUUCUCUUUAUCCCUUCCUUCCUGAAAACUGCCAUUCAGCUUCUUUUAAGAUAUCAGGAGGGGCAAAAGAAUUGUGUUUUCACUUCUGCAAUCUUCCAUAGGCUUGUUGUGUGACUGCAUGGAUUUCUUCAUCUCUCUUUGUUUUCUUCUGGGAGAACCAAAGAGCGGUUUGUGUUGGAAGGGACCUUAAAGAUUAUCUAGUUCCAACCCUCCUGCCAAGGGCAGUAACAUCUUCUGCUAGACCAGGUUGCUUAAAGCCCCAUCCAUCCUGGCCAUGAACACUUCCAGCGAUGGGGUGUCCACUCCUCUGGGCUCCCUGUUCCAGUCCCUCACCACCCUCACAGUAAAGAAUUUUUUCCUAAUAUCUAAUCUAAACCUGCCCUCUUUCACUUUAAAGCAAUUACACCUUGUUCCAUCACUACAUGCCCUUUUAAAGUUUCUAUCACCACUUUUCUUAUAGGGUCCCUUUAGGAACUGGGAGAUGCUGUAAGGUCUUCCCAGAGCCUUCUCUUCACCAAGGUGAACAGCCCCACUCUCUCAGAUUGUCUUCAGGAGAGGUGUUCCAGCCCUCUGAUCAUCUUCAUGGCCUUUGGACUCACUCUGGCAGGUCCAGUCCUUCUUGUGUCAAGGGCCCCAGAACUGGAUGCAGCACUCCAUGUGUCACCAGAGUGGAGUAGAAGGGCAGAAUCACUCCCCUGGACCUGCUGGCCACACUGCUUUGGAUGCAGCCCAGGAUUCCAUUGGCUUUCUGGGCUGCAAGUGCACAUUGCUGGCUCAUGUCAAGCUUGUCAAACAGCAACCCUGAGUCCUUCCCCUCAGAGCUGCACUCAAUCCACUCUCCACCCAGCCUGUGUUUGUGCUUGGGAUUAUCUUGAACCAGGUGCAGGGCUUGCACUUGCUGUUGUUGAAUUUCAUGAGGUUUUCACAGGUCCACUUCUCAAGCUUGUCAAGGUCUCUCUAGAAGGAGGACCGUUCUUGCUUUCUGUUGAUGAUUUCUUUUUCUGCCUUCCAGAGCCUCUUUGAAUCUCACCAAAGACAGGGAGAAUAUUUUCCUUGACCUCCCCAGCUCUGCAGUCAGUCCCGCUGUGUGCCGUGCUUUCUGUUAACUCCAGGGAUGCAGUCUAGGAGCACCAAUUUACCACAGCUUGCACCGGAAAGGUUUGAAAACUGAAUGUAUUAGAGACACAGGAAGCUGUGCAGUCGGAAAAAUGUGAAUUUAUAUCUUUCCUGUAAAUCAUUUCAACUGGUGUGCAUUUCCACUUUUGAUUUCUGAACAUGGAUCCAGGAAAAUAAAAGAGCAAAAUAUAUGUUCA
rnacentral:lncRNA from 1 species